ACGGCAGCGGGGGCUUCGGCCUGCCGGCGAGUGGCGAACGGGUGAGUAAUGCAUCGGAACGUGCCCAGUCAUGGGGGAUAACUACGCGAAAGCGUAGCUAAUACCGCAUACGCCCUGAGGGGGAAAGUGGGGGAUCUUCGGACCUCACGUGAUUGGAGCGGCCGAUGUCAGAUUAGCUAGUUGGUGAGGUAAAGGCUCACCAAGGCGACGAUCUGUAGCGGGUCUGAGAGGAUGAUCCGCCACACUGGGACUGAGACACGGCCCAGACUCCUACGGGAGGCAGCAGUGGGGAAUUUUGGACAAUGGGCGCAAGCCUGAUCCAGCCAUGCCGCGUGAGUGAAGAAGGCCUUCGGGUUGUAAAGCUCUUUCGCAAGGGAAGAAAACGUGUGGGCUAAUAUCCUGCGCGGAUGAC
rnacentral:rRNA from 1 species